rnacentral:rRNA from 1 species
GAUGAACGCUGGCGGCGUGCCUAAUACAUGCAAGUCGAGCGAACAGACGAGGAGCUUGCUCCUCUGACGUUAGCGGCGGACGGGUGAGUAACACGUGGAUAACCUACCUAUAAGACUGGGAUAACUUCGGGAAACCGGAGCUAAUACCGGAUAAUAUAUUGAACCGCAUGGUUCAAUAGUGAAAGACGGUUUUGCUGUCACUUAUAGAUGGAUCCGCGCCGCAUUAGCUAGUUGGUAAGGUAACGGCUUACCAAGGCAACGAUGCGUAGCCGACCUGAGAGGGUGAUCGGCCACACUGGAACUGAGACACGGUCCAGACUCCUACGGGAGGCAGCAGUAGGGAAUCUUCCGCAAUGGGCGAAAGCCUGACGGAGCAACGCCGCGUGAGUGAUGAAGGCCUUCGGAUCGUAAAACUCUGUUAUUAGGGAAGAACAAAUGUGUAAGUAACUAUGCACGUCUUGACGGUACCUAAUCAGAAAGCCACGGCUAACCACGUG